rnacentral:rRNA from 1 species
AACGAACGCUGGCGGCGCGCCUAAUACAUGCAAGUCGAGCGAGAAGGUGUAGCAAUACACUUGUAAAGCGGCGAACGGGUGAGGAAUACAUGGGUAAUCUACCAUCGAGUGGGGAAUAACCAGCCGAAAGGUUGGCUAAUACCGCGUACGCCUCCGAAUCUUCGGGUUCGGAGGGAAAGCCACACUGUGAGUGCGGCGCUCUUUGAUGAGCUCAUGUCCUAUCAGCUUGUUGGUAGGGUAACGGCCUACCAAGGCUUUGACGGGUAGCUGGUCUGAGAGGACGAUCAGCCACACUGGCACUGCGACACGGGCCAGACUCCUACGGGAGGCAGCAGUAAGGAAUAUUGCGCAAUGGGCGAAAGCCUGACGCAGCGACGCCGCGUGGGGGAUGAAGGUCUUCGGAUUGUAAACCCCUUUCGGGAGGGAAGAUGGAGCGAGCAAUCGUUCGGACGGUACCUCCAGAAGCAGCCACGGCCAACUUCGUGCCAGC